GAUCAGUGAUGAAAGUAGACAAUUCUGAGCAUCAGACCUUCUAGUGUAACUGACUUAUGAUCCCUGUAGUUCUGAAA